AAAAAUUUAUUUGAAUUAAAAAUAGAAUAUUCAGCAAAACACGAAAAAAACAAAAAUAGGACACCCAGGUCUAUAAAAUAUGAAGGACUCUGACAACGUGCCCCACAAUCACAUAUAGCCCUCCUGCCAACCAUUGAGAACUACAACGCUUGUCAACCUCAAACCCUGGAUGACGCCGUUUAUUCAGAACCUUAUAUAAGAACAUCAGAAACUUUAUUCUUCUGGUCACCACUCAUAGUAGAAGAUAUUUGCAAAUCGAGUCAUCAAACUAAUCACUAAAAGAAAUCGUAUUUGUAACCGCCGUUUCUCCUCCAGUAAAAAAAUUUUUUGGCGAGAAGUCGGGCUUGCCGAUAAAGGACAAAUUUGAUUCCAUCACUGAGACAUUAGCAAACCAAUUGAAUAAUCGAGACAUUAUCAAACCAAUUCAAUAAUCGAGACAUUAUCAAACUAAUUGAAUAAUCAUUUUUAAAAUAUUUCGAGUGAUAAGAUACAACCUAAUUACUCGUUCUUCAUCAACCGUCAAGCAGAUCUACCUAUUACCCCAAUUUUUACCAUUAAUAAAAUUCUCAGCCAACUUAACAAACUAAAGAAAGGAUCAUCAAGACAUGACAAUCUUUCCCCAAUCUUACUCAAAUCUGCUCGCUUAGAAAUUUCCCCAUCACUCUAUAUCCUAUUUAACCGUCUCAUAGAAAACAGUUACUUCCCUGAUCAAUGGAAAUCAGCGAACAUAACACUAAUUCUUAAAAUCUGAAACCCGCUAUCUUCUAAUGACUAUCGUCCAGUUGCUAUUACGUCAAUUAUGCAAAGUUUUUGAAAGAAUUUUCACCGAAUUAAUUGUCCAUCAUCACCAAGCAUAUCUAGGUCUCAAACAAACAGUUCAGUUACCUUUCAGGCCAUAGUACAAUAGACGCUAUUAGCCAAUUUAUAGAGGAUUGGAGUCUUGCUAAAGAUAAUAAUAAAUCAAUUUUUACAAUAUCUGUCCGUCAA